rnacentral:tRNA from 1 species
GGCUGAGUGGCGCAACGGUAGCGCGUCUGAUUCCAGCAUGUUGGAAUACAGCGUUCCUGCAGAGGAGUCUCCAGAAGGUUAUCCGUUCGAAUCGGGUCUCGGUCA